UACGGGAGGCAGCAGUAAGGAAUUUUCGGCAAUGGACGAAAGUCUGACCGAGCAACGCCGCGUGAGUGAUGAAGGCCUUCGGGUCGUAAAGCUCUGUGGUAAGGGAAGAACACUGUGAAUAGGAAAUGAUUCACAGCUGACGGUACCGUUUCUAGAAAGUCACGGCUUACUACGUGCCAGCAGCCGCGGUAAU
rnacentral:rRNA from 1 species